rnacentral:rRNA from 1 species
GAAUUCACUAGUGAUUCAGGCCUAACACAUGCAAGUCGAACGAUGACUUUUGUGCUUGCACAAAAUGAUUAGUGGCGAACGGGUGAGUAACACGUGAGUAACCUGCCCUUAACUUCGGGAUAAGCCUGGGAAACCGGGUCUAAUACCGGAUACAACGGACCACCGCAUGGCGGUCCGUGGAAAGCUUUAUGCGGUUUUGGAUGGACUCGCGGCCUAUCAGCUAGUUGGUUGGGGUAAUGGCCCACCAAGGCGACGACGGGUAGCCGGCCUGAGAGGGUGACCGGCCACACUGGGACUGAGACACGGCCCAGACUCCUACGGGAGGCAGCAGUGGGGAAUAUUGCACAAUGAGGGAAAGCCUGAUGCAGCGACGCCGCGUGAGGG